UACGUGGGGGGCUAGCGUUGUUCGGAAUCACUGGGCGUAAAGGGCGUGUAGGCGGCCUGUUAAGUCUGAUGUGAAAUCCCCUCGCUCAACGAGGGAACUGCGACGGAUACUGGCAGACUCGAGUACCGGAGAGGUGAGUGGAACUCCGAGUGUAGAGGUGAAAUUCGUAGAUAUUCGGAAGAACACCAGUGGCGAAGGCGGCUCACUGGCCCGGUACUGACGCUGAGGUGCGAAAGCGUGGGGAGCAAACAGG
rnacentral:rRNA from 1 species